AGAAAAUCUGGAGUGAGAAAUAAUUUAGACCCUGUGGGAAAUAUUAACUGAAGUACAUUAUAAAAGUAGACAAUAACUCAAAAUGUUGUUUUCUAGGAUGCUAGAACCUCCUUGGAGGCCCUAUUUAUUUGGGCUUUCAAAAUAGCUCAGUGCAGGACAGAGCACGAAAUGUAUUUGACCCCUGUGUUCCCAGGAGCAGCACAUGGAAUCGGCCAUCAGUCACAGCCUUCUGCCCCUGGGCCCAGGCCUGUGUGCAAAGCCUGCGAGGGGAGAUGCUUGUAGCGUUGUACAGAGUGAAAUGCUCUCACUAAAGCAGGAGGAGGACAGCUCUCCACAGAACAUAUACAUCUUGCCUGUGUUCUAAGAAAUGACACCUGGCUCCCCGCUGACACCUGGGUCACUUCCUGAUUCAUCAGUGACUGCUUACAAAUUCCAGCUUCCAACAAGCACAAGCCCGUCUGCUGUGAUAUUGUUGGAAGCCAUAUAUUUCCCAGCAAGCUUUGAAUGUCCUUGAAGUUCAUCCUCAUCUCUAAGGUAUCAUAUUGAGAUUUUUAAAAAGAUUAAUCUUUCAUCUUAUAAUCACUUUUAUCAUGA
rnacentral:lncRNA from 1 species